UACGUAGGGGGCGAGCGUUGUCCGGAGUUACUGGGCGUAAAGCGCACGCAGGCGGUCGGCCAAGUUCGGAGUGACAGUUUCCGGCUUAACUGGAAAAGGUCUUCGAAAACUGGUGGACUUGAGGACUUGAGGGGUAGACGGAAUUCCGGGUGGAGCGGUGAAAUGCGUAGAGAUCCGGAGGAACACCGAAGGCGAAGGCAGUCUCCUGGCAAGUCCCUGACGCUCAUGUGCGAAAGCUAGGGGAGCGAACAGG
rnacentral:rRNA from 1 species